AAUUUGAAGUUGAACCCCCAGAUAGAGAAGUUUGCUGUAGAUUGACUGUUUGCAUUUGGGAAGUCAUUGGGUUUUCGUGUGUUUGUUGUGAUUGUGAUUGUGAUUGCAUAUGUGGUGGUUGUGGUUGUUGUUGUUGUGUGGGGGCAGGUUUCCGGUGAUUUGAGGUGAUGAUAUGGACGAUUUGCUUCUCAUAAAUACUAAGUUUGUCUUUAUAGCUGACUAAAAUGUUGUGCUUUUGGAUUUGUAAGAAUGCCAUGAAACGUUCCAACAUGUUUUUGAAUAUUCUCAGCCUCUCAAGUUGCUCGUUCUUUGGCUGCUGAGGAAGAGAAUCGUGCUGGACAACAAAGUUUUUUGUUAAAUGCAAGAAAUAGCAAUGUACUUUUACUGAUUGAUUUAUUAGAGCAAUGUCAAUGAAAUAUAAAGCAAUUUUCACUGAUAUAAUUGGAGUAAAUUUUCAAAGUAUAAUGUCCUAAAUUAGGUCCCUUAACAAGUGAAAAGCACAAUGGGACUACAACAAAACCAUAAAGAUAUGUAUAUGAGCCACUACUAACUUACCUGUAGCAAUUUGCUAAGAAUUUUAUGGUGCAUGUCAUUCAAAUCUGGUAGAUACAGAUCCUUCAUAGCUUUUAUCUGUAAUCAAAAUAAAAACAAAUUUGGAGUAACUGAAAAUUACACUACAGAUGCAAAUCCCUCAAUAGAUUUUAUCUGAUCUGAAUUCUAAAAGAUAUGUAAUCUCAUAUACAAUACCUUUUGAUACACUUCCUCCUGCCAAUCUCCAUCAUUUUCAUUUCCCGUCUGAGCUGUCCAAUAUAACAAUGCAACAAAAAAUUUAAAAUCUGCAUACUAUUAGCUCAUUGCAAUUUGCAACAAACAANAAAAAAAAAAAAAAUUUUUUUUUUUUUUUUUUUUUUUUUUUUAAAAAGUGGCUGAAGGAUACCUAUCCCAUUAUGUGACACCAAAGGAUUUAUGUUUACUUGUUGGGCAGCAGUCCCAUUCACUGAAUUUUGCUGUAGAGAACCAUUCAUACUGAUAUUUUGUUGCACAGAAUGCAUAUGUGGUGGUGGAGGAAGUGGUUGUGGUGGUGGCUGCUGAGUGGCGGCAGGUUUCCGGAGGUUUGAGGUGAUGAUAUGGAGGAUCUGCUUCUCANCUGCUGAGUGGCGGCAGGUUUCCGGAGGUUUGAGGUGAUGAUAUGGAUGAUCUGCUUCUCGUAAGUACUCAGUUUGUCUUUAUAGUUGACUAAAAUGUUGUGCUUUUGGAUUUGUAAGAAUGCCAUGAAACGCUCCAACAUGUUUUUGAAUGCUUUCAGCUUCUCAAGUUGCUCAUUAUUUGAUUGCUGAGGAAGAGAAU
rnacentral:lncRNA from 1 species